CGCGGCGGCUGGUUCGGCUGGUUCUGGUCCGGCUGGUUCUGGUUCGGCUGGUUCUGCUUCGACUGCGGCGGCCGGUUCGGUUUCGGCUGUUCCGGCC
rnacentral:tRNA from 1 species